UACUGUUUUGCUCACAGUGCGCACCUUCAGUGACUGAUGCUGGUGUAUCCUGUGAAGUGAAACUGUCGAUUACCAUUUCUUCAAAAAUGAAACUGAAGAAACGGACGGAAGGAGCAGUGAUUCAGAAGAUGCAAGUCAAGGCAGGACCAAUUCUGCAUGUAUAGACCACCACAUACCAACAAACACACAGUGACACACUGGUGAAUUGUGCAAUGGCGGAGGUGUCACCAAUACUAUAUAAAGCAUUAGUGGGAGUCUCAUCUCAUCAUAUUUUCUCUCAUCACCUGUACAGCAGCUCUCCUUCCAGUCACCCAGCAGAUCAGCGAUGGCAGCAGCAGCAGCUUGGUCCAGGAGCAGAGGAGUGGCUGGUGUCAGAGCCACUACAGGCCUGAUCUCCAUCUUCACUCUGCUGUGUCUGGUUUGCCUCUCAAGUUCACUGACUCAUAAAGACGAGCUGAAAGACUUAAAGGAAACACUUCAGGAAGCACAAAAAGAAUUGGAUAAGGCGAAGGCACAAAUGGGCACCGCUAAAAAUCUUGCGGCGCUAUCUGUGGGUCUUAUGGAGACCAUAGAUUCUGAUGACUCUCCACAGCUGCAGGGUGUCAAGGACUUCGUAAUGAGAAGAAAGAAUGGAGUAGAUAUGAUGGAUGAGGAGAUGAGAGCACGAACAGAGGAAAUUGAAAAGAAACUGGAAAGACAAAGGAAGUCAAUCACAUCCCUUGAGGAGCAACAGUCUGAAUUGUAAAUCCCAUGUCAGUCAGUGCUUCCACCUCUGAUACUGCAGCUUUUGUAUCUGUGAAAUUUUUCUGUUUAAUCCUUCAGCUUCAUUUGAGUGUUUUUUUUUCUCUGAACUGGCUUUGAACUCAUUUUUGACAUAAAGUAGGAAGUUAGAGAGAGAUGCAGUAAUGACAGGGAUGUGAGAGGUGUUGUACUACUUUUAUUGACCACAUUUACAAAUGUACUGAUGUGCAGCCAUUACAGUUACAGUACUGGCAACAAUGCUUACGCGGGAUUGAAUAAAAUAAACUCAUUUUACUCCUUUUAUUUCUAGUUCAAUAUAUUGCGGUGGACCACUAAAGAGAAUCAUGUUUCUGUUUUCUUCUGCUGAUUUAUUUUUAUGGUUUUCUUGGAAUAACUGAGUCUACAAUACAAACUAUAAUCUUCUACAUUUCUACCUAUAUGACUUUAUUGAAAUCAGGGCUAUUGAAAAUAUAUGCUGUGAUAUAUUGUGUUGCAUGAAAUUCAGCAUGUGUGGAAAACCCAAAUAAAUGUCCUACAUGGGAGCUGUUGCUGUCUGCCGCCUUAUUUCUUUACAGUUGUGA